rnacentral:rRNA from 1 species
GGCCUGUUGAGUAUAAUUUCAGGUUUGACCUGCCCAAUGAGUAUUUGAAUGGCUGCGGUAUACUGACCGUACAAAGGUAGCAUAAUCAUUAGUUUUUUAAUUAAAAGCUAGAAUGAAAGGUUUGAUGAGAAAAGUUCUGUCUCUAUAAGAAUUAAUUAGAAUUUUAUUUUUAAGUGAGAAAGCUUAAAUUAAAAUAGAAGACGAGAAGACCCUAUAGAGUUUUAUAUUACUAUAAAAAUUUAAAUUUUUAGGAUUAGAAAUUAUUUAUUUUUAGUGAUAUUUUGUUGGGGUGAUGAAAAAAUUUAGUAAACUUUUUUUUAAUUUGUACAUUUAUUUAUGGGUAAAUGAUCCUGUGAUUUAGAAUAUAAGACUAAAUUACCUUAGGGAUAACAGCGUAAUUUCUUUUAGAGUUCUUAUCGAAGAAGAAGAUUGCGACCUCGAUGUUGGAUUAAAAUUAAUUGUUGGUGUAGACGCUUGCAAAUUAGGUCUGUUCGACCUUUAAAAUUUUACAUGAUCUGAGUUUAAACCGGUGUGAG